UCCGCAGUUCUGACAUGGAAGACUGUCAGAAAGUGUAUAGUUGUCGUCUAAGUAAUGAAGUUUCACGUCAAAAAUCAUUUAUAAAUGAUUCAAUAACAAGAUAUAUACUUCUAUAUACGUAAUUUUUCCACCUUCAACAAAAACAAAGAGAAGAUAAGCAUCAAUGCAGACUUUCUAACUAAAGAAACUUUUCAAAUGUGAUAUUUGCAAUUUACCAUUAUGUGUAGAUCAUUUUAAAGAUUAUGCAUACUUGUAAAACAAUCACUGAAGUUAUACUCACAUAUUUUGAAACACCUUAUAUAUUAUAACGAUGUGGGAUUAAUUUAUUUUCAAUGUAUAUGUUACUGUAAAAGACUGAAAUUGGAGAAUGUUAAGAUUUACAUGGUCGCUUGGUGUAUGUCCUAAAUAUUAAUGUAUAAGAAUGAACCCAAAUAUUCUCCAAUAUAAAUUUUUCAUGGUAAA
rnacentral:lncRNA from 1 species